GCGAAACCACUCUCUGGCUCAUUCAUGCUUUCUGAGUAACGAAGGUGCAGAACAGGGCAACGCGCCAAACUGCCGAGGAGACCUUUGUUGGGCUCCUGAACCUGCUCCCUGAUGGUAGUCAUGAGCAGACAGCAUGUCCUGAGGGGUGAGCAUCCUCAAUGAUGGAUGCCUCCUCCUUGAGGCACAGCCUUUUGAAGAUGUCCUCGAUGAUGUGAAGGCUAGAGAUCAUCACGGAGCCUACAACCCUCUGCAACAUUUUUCGAUCCCGUGCAUUGGAGCCUCCAUACCAGACAGUGGUGCACCCAGUCAGAACGCUCUCCGCGGUGUAUCUAUAGAAAUUUGCCGGCGUCCCUGAUGAUAUACCAAAUCUCCUCAACAUCCAAAUGAAAACCAGAAUCAUAAUUCAGAGGGUAAGUGCCCAUGAUGGAACUGGUUGAGACUACAACGAUGCUGCUUUUCCCAAUCCUGUUCACUGGAGCUCCCAUACCA